AAAUGACCUCUACCAAUUAGUGGAUCUAAAAAGAUUGGAUAGGUUACUGGGAGGGUUAGCAAUAAGGUAAUACUGUAAGGUCACCUCCUUACUCUGUAAUAGCUGGAAUUUCUGCCAUACUGUUUAUUAAAGGUCAACUGGCCUUUAGAAUCAACUUCUCUGGUUUUAAAUGGCCUAUAUGACAUCGAUAUGAGUCAAACAUUAAUUAUAGUGUCAAAAUUGUGAGUUCAUCGCGACUUACUCGAGGGUUGCCAUGUGGACAUUUUGCUGUCAAGUCUGCAUGAGUGCAAUGCACGCACAUUUCGCUCUGCAAAUAGGAGUGAAAAUGGGCUUCCAUAAAGCUGAUGCCAACUUCCAUGCAUUUCAACAAUAUUGCCAGAUGGCCAGGAAUGGAUUACAUAUGACAGUCAUUUCUGAUGCCUAUCAACUGUCAAACCACUGAUGUUGUGUUGGCUUCUAUGACUGUAUGGUGACGGUCUGUGGUGACUGGAGCUGAAGUCGGGCUCCUUCAUGACCAGUAUCUAUGAUGAGUGGCCUGGAGCUGAUCUACUCUGCCAUGCCCAUCAGGCAUUGGCAAACACCUCAGAAGGGACAGAAGAUGGGCAGAUAGAUGCUUUUUAAAUGGAGUCCUUUGACUGAAAGAAAGGUUGAUACUGAUGACUGUAUUGAGAGAG